CCUACGGGAGGCAGCAGUGAGGAAUAUUGGUCAAUGGCCGGAAGGCUGAACCAGCCAAGUAGCGUGAGGGAUGACUGCCCUAUGGGUUGUAAACUUCUUUUAUAUGGGAAUAAAAUGUUCCACGUGUGGGUUUUUGUAUGUACCAUAUGAAUAAGGAUCGGCUAACUCCGUGCCAGCAGCCGCGGUAAUACGGAGGAUCCGAGCGUUAUCCGGAUUUAUUGGGUUUAAAGGGAGCGUAGGUGGGUUGUUAAGUCAGUUGUGAAAGUUUGCGGCUCAACCGCAAAAUUGCAGUUGAUACUGGUAGUCUAGAGUACAGUUGAGGUAGGCGGAAUGUGUGGUGGAGCGGUGAAAUGCUUAGAGAUCACGAAGAACACCGAUUGCGAAGGCAGCUUACCAAACUGUAACUGACAUUGAGGCUCGAAAGCGUGGGUAUCAAACAGGAUUAGAUACCCGAGUAGUC
rnacentral:rRNA from 1 species